rnacentral:lncRNA from 1 species
CAAUGGAACAAUGGAGGCAUCGUUAGAGAUUUAUAAAGAAUAUUGUUUUCGUGAAGUGAUAAUUUUUUUUUUUUCCAUUCGUUGUCGAUCCUUGGGAUUUAUUACUGGGAGAGAUCGAGAACUUGAUCUUUUAUUUUAUUUUUAAAACUUUCUCAAAGAAAUUUGGAAAAAAAAAGAAAACGUUUUACCUUAGAACAAAAAAGAGCGGCCUUAAAACCUACUAAUUUUAAUCUCAGUAAAGAGAGGGAGAUCUGGGUGAAGACGUCAAAUUCUUUGACGACAAAGGGCAAUAUCUCAACCCCCUUUCCUCGAUCCACGCCCCUUAAGUGUACGCGAAACUGCAUCGUGUGUACCGAGACCACUCACGUUCGCAGUCAUAGUCGUAGAGCGUCGAGUCAGCCACUUUCGAAAAGAAGGGUUGAGAACCAUUGUUCUCGAUCGGCGUUGGCGGCCAACAUGGGAGCAGAACACGGGCUCGGCUCGGCCCCCACGACGGAAGGACUCGAUCCAAUUUGCUCGAUAAAUCUGCGCUGAUUUCAACGUAACGAGGGUCUCUCGCGCUUGAUGCGUGGCACGCGCUUUGUCGCGUGCUCGCUCCCGCGCCCGAGCGGACAAAGUGGGAAGGGAAAGUGGGAAGAGCGGUGACGAGAGAUGAAAAGAGGGAGAAGGGGCCAGACUUCGCCAGGACAGGAGCAAUUAAAAGUAUGGGAUCCAUUCUCUUUUCUUCACCAACCAUGGGGGAGCGAUAGUUUUAAAAGCGGGCCUUCAUUAGCAGAACGGUUCAAUUAACGAGGGAAUCGUUCGUGCGUGACGAUUUUUUUUUUUUUUUUUCAAUAGAAACGGAGAUAAUCGCUUUCGAAUAUUUCAGAGAGCUCGAGGAACUGUUUCUAAUGAAUCGAUUCAGGACGAAGAAUAAUGCUUCGAUAUGACGGCACGAUGAUUUUUAUUGCAAACUAUUGUAUUAUCGUAAAAUUAUUUUCGUACGAACGUUAAUAUUUAUCGUUGAAAAUUAUUGAAAAUAGAAAAUUAAUAUAGUUUCUUAAUAGAGUCUUCUUAAAAUUGUUACAAACAACAUGAUAUAUAAUUAUUCAAGAGAGCUAAUUGAUCUGCUCGAAGUAGAAUAUAACACGUCAAUGAUCCAUCUACAAUUAAAGCUCCCUUAUCUCGAUUCUCCUAUAAUCUUCCUGCUCGUGGCUCAACUCGACUCGAUUGUGAUAUAAUUUAUAAAUUCGAGGACGCCACUGCCAAGUCAUCCACCCUCAUCUGUUUACGCUCCCAAUCCCUUCUCACGUGUAAUAGAUUUUCUAAUUAACGUUCAAUUAACGUUCCUCCCGAACACGCAUUCGUUCUAUCGAUACGCAAAAAACUCGUUAAACUUUGUGGAUCGAUCGAUUAUAAUCGUUCCACUCUAAUUAAGGACGCAACACCAAAAACCUCUCUCUCUCUCUCCAGCUUCGUCAAACGUAGUGUAUCAUAGCGAGUGUUUCAUCGACUCGGCGAUAAAUCAACGCUUCCUCGUUACACUGUCUCGGAUAAUUGAACGACACUGUUUGAUGGAAAUGUUCGUUCCUCUCUCUCUCUCUUCCCUUAUUCGCCAUACAACGCACGCUAUAGUUCACGUUUAUGGUCCUUUUAACACUAGAAACUCGAGGAGCGGGUUCAAUUAUUAAAAUUGAUUCGAUCGAUCGAUUGAAACGGAUUUUUUAACUUUUUCCAUAAUUCGAUUAAUCCUACGAGAAAGUUAAUUUUUAAUUUGGCUGUACAAGUAUUUUUGCAAAGAAAGAAUCGUCCAAUAUCAAGAUAAUAUGACAGAUCGACGCUAAAUAUUUCUAAAUCUAAACUGAACUUUUUCCAUAAUUCGAUUAAUCCUACGAGGAGGUUAAUUUUUAAUUUAGUUGUAGUAUUUUUGCAAAGGAAGAAUCACACAUCGUCCAAUAUAUAAAGAUUAUAUCACUUCUUCAUCGACGCUAAAUAUUUCUAAAUUUAAACUGAACUUUUUCCAUAAUUCGAUUAAUCCUACGAGGAGAUUAAUUUUUAAUUUGGCUAUACAGUCAAGUAUUUUUGUAAAGAAUCAUCAUAUAUCAAGAUAAUAUCACAGAUCGACGCUAAAUAUUCCAUCUAAACUUAACUUUUUUCAUAAUUCGAUUAAUCCUACGAGGAGACUAAUUUUUAAUUUGGCUAUACAAGUAUUUUUGCAAAGGAAGAAUCGUACAUCGUCCAAUAUCAAGAUUACAUCACUUCUUCGAUGCUAAAUAUUUCUAAAUCUAAACUGAACGACACCCAACGAGUAUAUAAACGAUAAUUAAUCCCAUAAUGAAGUCUCCAAUAGUUGUUAAAUUAACCCACACGAAUCGGAAACCGGUAUUCUCUCUCUACAAACGCAACCCCGAAUAAGAGGCAAUAGGAGGACAGGAUUUAUCGUCCCCUUUCCACUUGUUCCACUGAAUCUUGUCUAGGAGGAGAGGAGAAGGAAAGAGAAAAGAGUGAAAAAAAAGGCAAAUCCACGUGCCGGGGGACGCGCACGAUUGAUGAUCCCCUUCGGUGAUGUCGCCGCGUCCGGUCUUUGGAAGCGUCCGAGAUACGUCAUUUUCUCUCUCUCGAGAGAGAGAGAGCCCACACGUCCGCAACGAAACCGUGGAGAGACGGGAGAGCAAAUAAUAACGAGGAUAAUCAAUCGGCCGUAGGAAGGAAAGGAAUCCUCUGGAGGGGACAGGAUGGGCGCGGCGGGAAAUACGUUGGACGAACGAAUACGCCUCUGCCCUCUUCUUUUCGUCGUCCAGGAUCCUCUCUCUCUGUCCGUUCCACGAGUCAACCUGUUUUACGCGCAUUUAUGCAUUUUCAUCAACGAGACGAUCGAGAAACCAAGGUUUUAAAACGAACACGCGCUCGUUUCAAAUCGGUUAAUGACGGUUUAAUCUUACCUCUGCCGUGUUUAACAGGCUAGGCCAGCGAUUGGAACGGUUUCUUUUUUGGAUCUUCGCAAAGACGGAUCGUGGUCUAAUGAGAUUAUCGAUAGGGGUGAAAAUUGUUUCGAAGAAACGGAGAGAUUCGUAUUUUUGAGUACGAUAAAUGUAAAUUUUGGAUGGAAGACAGGAUCGAAGAGAAAUUUUGAAUUCGUAGAAGGAUAUGAUCGAAGUGGAUUUGUAUAAAAAUUAUUUUCCAUGAUUGACACGUUGAAUUGAAGCAGUUUAAUGUAUCAAUAACCACGUCGAAACUAUUUUAACCUUUGAACGAAAGGGACCGAGGCUAUUGCUACUUUCAACUCGAUAUUACAAGAACAUUGGAUCCAGAAAUAUAAAUAUUCUCUCCUUUAUAUACAUCAGAAUCCAGAUAUCAAACUAUUAAUAAACGAAUGAAGAAAUUCAGUGCAACGUAUCGAUGAUAUAAUAAAGAUGAUAUGAUAAAGGUUUGAUUUAAAAUUUUUCUUUUUUUUUUUUUUCCAGACACUUUCUCGCGAAGGAAAGAUGUUGAAGCGUUAGGGCGCUUCCGGUACCACGUUUAGUUCCCCCCGCUGAGAGGAUUUUACACCGUGUGGGUUGCCGCUGACCCCAACGGGUUGCUGAACCCUGCUUCGCGCAUCGUGCGAAAUACCAAUAGAAUCCCAUCGGGAGAGCAACUUUUAUCUACGCAGUAUCGAUAAAUACUAAUUUAAUAGUAAUAAAAAUCGAUGAUUUGUCGUCGCUUCGAGUAAGCAUGACGGGAAGUUUCACCGCAAUUCACGAAACGAGAUAUUGAGGAUAAGUGGUUUUCUCAAGUGAUUGACCAACAUUUUAGAAACUGAGAUUUCUGAAUCUCGCGUUUUUCUCUUCCUCUCUCUUUAUCCAUCUCUUUCGAAUAAUUUUUCUUUCGAUCGCUUCUCUUUAAAUUAUAUAUAUUCUUCGAGUUUUUAUACUCGUCGAAUAUUUGGUAUAAAAAUGUACACGGAGGGAGAAAAGAUACGUAGAAGGAUAAUAUAAUAUUUAUUAUACGACACUUAAAAAUAUGACACUUGUUUUCUUCCUCAAUGAAGAAGUCGUUCGAAUUUCUAAGAGGUUCAUCCAAUUCCAACCGUGAAAUUUCUUUUUCGACGCAUUAAAAAAGCCGAGUGAUGAUGGACACAGGAAUUCCUGAAGAAACCGCGUGAAAAGUGGACCAGGACGCUUUCGAAAAUAAUAAUCAUCUGUUACAAUGACUCGACAUGCUCGUGAAGCGAACUAUGCUAAUGCUUGUUGGUGAACGUCAUUAAAGAGGAAAUACGAUCCACUCUCUUUAAAAGUUUUCUUUUUUUCCCCCGUGUAACGUGGUAGCAUAAUCAGGUUGCCGGACUUUUCCACCAAAGAUCCGGAAUAAUAAAUCAUCGGAUCUCCCGCUGAUAAUUUUCUUAACCAGCGUAAAACUCGAGUGUCUGCUAGAGAAAUUUCAGCAAAGUUAUUAAUAACAAUAACACGCACUUUGCACCGCGUGAUUUUUGCUCUCGUCUCGAGAUUAAAAUUAAAAUCGAUUGACCAGAGAUGAUCUCAUGAUCGCAAAGAGCUGUGUCUCCAUUUUCUUCGAUGUGAGAAAAACAA